GUUAAAGCAGUAGUUGCCGUUCAUUGGUGCCAAACUUCUUUUCUAUUUGCGUCAGAAGGUGUCGUCGGAUACGGAAUGCAAGGGCUAGACGUCGUACGGGCCUUGAGGCAGCGGUUCCAGUUCCUUGUGCGGCGCGGGGUUGCAACCAAAACGCGAAAGCAGGCUCCAGACCGAGCGGAAAAGCCGAGUCCAGCUCCCGACGCAACAAGCACAGACCAGCUGGCGUCAGAAGCCACGGAGACUACCUGGAGCGCGCUUAAUAUUGUCAAGGGCGAAACAGGACCGCCAAAGCAGCCGUUAUCCGCCUACCCUGAAUGGCUAUGGACACUGCUCUCUGAAGAAAAGAACGUACCGCUGCGGGUUCUACAAGAACGCUUCGAAAGUUUACGAUCAGAACGGGGCCUCCAGGAAGCCGUGCGACUGCUUGGAUCAGAGCAGCUACAACGUUUACUCAAACUUGCGAACAGGGCAGCUAUCAAACAACACAACACCGAGCGCAAGCGGGUGUAGUCAUUGGCUAUCUUGCAACCUGACCAGCUGCGUGACAGGCGCCAAGUGGCAGCAUAAACGCGUCAUCACGAUCGAUAUGGUACCCGUGCUGGUUGUCUCUUGUACUGCGAGAAAGAGCGCUUGCAUUUUCAUGCGAUACGACACUGUCACGAACGCCUGUGCAGCUGAAGACGCAGUGCCGUAGCCCGUGCUUGGCACGUGCCUGUGAAAGGUAAAGCGCUCGGUUUCCCAGCAUGUUCUCAGCAUAGGAGCUACGCAGCGUACGCUUGAUGCGAAGCGAGCACUUGCCGUGCAUUGGCACUGGGCAGUGCACUUUGAUCCACGCUAGGCUUUGUACAACGUUUCUGUACGAUCCAGCUUACAUGCUCAUGCAAGACAAAUCUGGCAAGGAACGCGGAAAGCAAGUCAAGAAUCCAGCAGCUUGCUUGAAGUGGGCGUUGACGUCGCGACGGCCCGCGAGCACCCUCAUCAACGGAAUGCAUCACUGAACAAGUUACUGCACGCCUAUGACAGACUGGAAGGGAACGGGUGCGCCAACACGUGUGGAUCCACAAAUGUUUCGACCUGUUUACAGUUGCAUCAUCUACGGAAGCCUCUGGGGUCUUUUCCUUGGACUGCUUCAUUCUCUAACUGUGUGUUUCCGGCUCGAAGUACGCAGGUCUAUCUGUCGUCUUCAGAGCAGCCGUCAGCAACUGGAAAAAGUGAUCACCUGUCUUGCGACCUGCACUCGGAUGGCUACGCUCGUCUUCCUCGUAUACGGUCGCGGUACGCUGGUCGCAGCGAUCACUCUAGGCUAUGACCGGGUGUACCCAGAUAUGCACCGCUGCACCGCUGCACCACUGCACCGCUGCACCGCCAGCAUCACACGCCCUCCCAAGAGCGCUACCCUGUGUCUCGUGAACGCUCGCUUCAGCGCCAGGUCCACGCCCUGGACGGGCGACGAAGGUUACCGUCGAUGCACCCGCCGCUUCUCCGACUAGUGAGGCACGCCACUGUCACGCGCUUCUUCCGGGUGAUCGCUUCGUCGAGUGCCGUGUCCGUUGCACACGAGCAGGCACAUGCGUCUCCGUUCCGUAGAGGAUUUCUGGAACGGAGACGCAGGUUUCCACGAUGAACCAGGUGCUGCAGGCAAUACUCGCGCUGGCGAACACGUCCAGAACUCCUGAAGCGUCUACGUUCGCUUUUGGCACAAAACGGUGACGCGUUCUCCACUCGAAGCGAUCACCGCGAUGACUCCAGUCCGAGUCCGAGACGCUUUUGCACGGCAACACCAGGGACGGAAGCCUCUGGCCGCAUAUCCCCUGACAGACAGCGUGCCGCUGUCGAGUGCCGUGACGUCCGUGGCCACCCAGCGAGCAGCACUUGCGUUCCGAAGCGACUCAGUCGUGUGCCGUGACGAGUUCAGCGACCGUCGGGCACGAGCUUGUGAACAGGUCGUCAAGCGGUGACGUCAAGCGUUUCGUCUUGUCGUGCCAGCGUUGGUCGUUCGCGUGUACACGAGUUGCCUCGAACCGGAACGACGGGAGACUUGAAGCACGCCUGCUCUGGGUAUGCUACGUGUGCGUACAGGAGAAGCGUGGCUGCCUGGGCGCCUAUGCAUUGCAUCCGAAUAUCGGUUAUUGUAUGAGUGUGUGUUCGAGGGCGUAGCGAGUGAUCUCUGCUCUGACGAUAGAACGUAUUCGAUCGGAGAGAGAGAGAGAGAGCGCACCCACCGCGCCAGCUUGACAAGUCGAUGGAGCAUUCCUGGAUUCGGCAUGAAUCCGCCAGCCGUUAUUGUCGCGCUUCUCACGUCGAGACUGCAGUACGAAUCAGGAAUGAACUCCGAAGAAAUCGACAGACAGGAACAGAGUGAGCCGUUUAGCGUCCCGUUUGAACCCGAUACAUACCUACAACAAGAACUGGAGCGAUGUACGAGCAUUUUAUUCAAAUGCCAUCUUGGUGCACUCCCCGAUCGCAUUCACAUCGCAAAGCACGGUACAAUCAGAUUCCUGUUCAAACUCCUAGCCGACAGUUCUUGAAUCUUCGAGCAGAAUUCCGCACGUGUCCUUCGCCAGUAUAACCCGCAGACGCAAGGCAUGCGACGAUCGCUUCGCCCGUGUACCUACGCGAAGCCUAAACCCCUGACGCAAUAUAGAGGGUGUGCCGAGCGCUUACACCACGGUUGGAGUGCAGACCCUCUUGCUCGUAGGAUCCGCGCACCAUAGAACCUGCACCAGCAGCCAAGUCGAGUGCCGACAAAAUACCUCUUCACUGGAUCCGACGCGAUGCUUCGCACGCUUGACUACUGGAGGGCGCGUCCAGGUCCUCUGCAUCCGCACCAGCACUGGCGAUAGCUCUGCAGCGAUCACGUUUUCGCCAGGUCCCGCAGUCGCUUUUUCUCAAACGGAAUCUUCACAAAACGCUCCAUGAUUACGUCAUUAUAAAGAAGGGCAUU